UUCUGUUAGUGCUGCACUAAAAGAAUUGUUAGUAAUAAGUCCAUGCAGCGAAGGAAUUGAACAAUUGUGGGACCGUAUUUGGGCUGAAAAUGGGUGUGGUACGGAAACCCAGAAAUAGCACGAGUUCAACAUAAAACAUGAAUUAGAAUUCUAGUGGGGGAUCAAGUCAAGUCUAGAAGUGUUACAGGAUGGAAGAGUGAGCCUACAGUUGAAAAACACUGAAAGUGCAUUACCAUUAAGGUAUGAGGUAAAGUAAUAGAGUAUGCAAAUUGUCUAAUGAGAAGUACCAUCUUGUGUGAAUGAAUCCUGUGUAACAGCAAUCCUUUAUAGUUCUGUUAUAGCUAGAAGCCUCAAAUAAUUCUGCUUCUCUUGUUAAAGAACAACUUGUUCUUUACACUCAGAGUGUUGGUGAAGCUGGGUACUUAAAUGGCCCUAAAGAUGUUUCACUUCACUGGCAUUGCAGCGAUGAACAUCAUACAUGGACUCUUUAGGAAAGGAUUUUCAGCAUACUGGGAACACAACUAUCAACAAUGCAACAUUCUAGGGGUGUUAUUUUAUCCUUCAAGAGCCUUAUACAAUGAUUUUCAUCUACAAUUUGUAUGGCCUUUCCCGAGCUUCUGCCAGAAGUUGAAUCUAUGAGUCAUGUAAGUCACAUGAGCAACAAUUGAGAUGCUUAAUGGUGUUGUUUUUCUUUUCUCAGUGUAGGUUAAUAGUAACAUUGGAUCUGAAAAAAAACUUGGUUGGGGCAUG